GUAAACAAGGUAGAUGAGG
rnacentral:snRNA from 1 species